rnacentral:tRNA from 1 species
UUAAUUGAAGCCAAAUUAGAGGCAAAUUAUUGUUAAUAAUUAAAUUGAGAUUUCCCCCCCUUCUCCAAUUGAA